CAGCGAGAAACCAGGCUGAGUGACGUGCUCCGGUCGGGGCCGCCUCGCCGGACCACACUGGGCCUUUGUGUCCACCUUCCUGCCGGGACCUGAGCGACAGCCCAGCAGCAGCCAAAGAGCCGCUGAACAAGCACCCAGUUCAGGGUUGCCACAUCCCGGUCUCCACCCGGGGAGAGAAAAUUGCGAUUGGAAUCAAGUCAGAUGAAAUGUGCGAGUGAGCCUCAGCGUUCUCAUCUGUCACAUUGGUGGGUGUCCGACUCCGUGCCAGGCCCUUGAGGUUCCAGAGAUGAGGAAGCUGAGGCUCCGGAAGGCACAGCAGUUUCUUCAAGAGCAACGAAUCAUUCAGAGCUGGUCGGGGAGGGCGCCUUCCUGGCACUGGUGGGGUGGGCCACGGGCUGCCCCAGCUCCGCCUCAGAACAGAUGCUGGGCUCUGGU